rnacentral:rRNA from 1 species
GACAGAGGUGCCGAGCGUUAGGCGGAAUCACUGGGCUUAAAGCGCGUGUAGGCGGACGUCUAAGUGCCUUGUGAAAUCCCACGGCUCACCCGUGGAACUGCUCGGUAUACUGGUCGUCUUGAGCCUUCUAGGGGCGAGUGGAACAAAUGGUGGAGCGGUGAAAUGCGUAGAUAUCAUUUGGAACGCCAAUGGUGAAAACAACUCGCUGGGGAAGUGCUGACGCUGAGACACGAAAGCCAGGGGAGCGAACGGG